GAUUAAAUGGCUGAAGAUUAGGCAAUAAAUUGUAAAUUUAUUUAUAAGGGUAAAUUCCUUUUUAAUCA
rfam:Glossina brevipalpis unplaced genomic scaffold Scaffold286, whole genome shotgun sequence.